UGUUGGCUCAGGGCACCAGCUUUCUAGGUCUUGAUAACCACUUGACUACCUGAUUAGUAAAGGGGAAGUUUCAUCUCCCCAAAGAGGCCAACAGUGCAUUAUGCCAUAGGCCUAUGUGGCCUCUUAACCCCAGAAAGAUCUGUUGGGUUAGACUAAAUUUCAGAACCAAAGAGAGUCAUGGGUGAAGUAUGACCUCCUAUACAAAAGCACAAGGGAGUUAAGUUUUGAUGGGUCCUAGGUCUUGGUCUGUAUUCUGAGAAGAACCAAGCCAGGGCUGCAAUGUCAUAGGGCAGGGUCUACUCAGGGUGUGCUUUCAGGCAUGACUGAAAGACUCAGUGUUUACUGGAGAUUGUAAUUUCCAUGAAGAAUGUAGGCUCCUUUGUCACCAGCCAACUACAACAACAUUGAACAACAGAGAUCAGAAUAGGACUUAUUUUCAAAUAUCAUAGAAUGGGUUGCCAUUGUCUGAGAUAGAAGACUUACUCCACAGACUGCAGCAGACAUUGUGGAGACAUUAGAGUCAGCCAAAGGCAAGAGGUUGUUGCUACAUCAGCCUCCCAGAGCUCUGCCUGUAGAGGAAGAACAAUUAAAGCAACGCUGUCACUGGGGCAUGCACACUUGCUGGAGAGGAAAUUCACCCAUUUGCUCUAUCUGUUACAGGGAAGUCCACUAGGAUGGAGAAGGCAUUUGAGACAGCUGAAUACACUGCAACCAUACUCAAGAAGUAAAGACCGAUGAAUGCUGGUGCUAAG